AUGCUCACUUCGUCAGCACAUAAACUAAAAUUAGAACCACACAGAAAAUUAGCAUGGCCCCUGUGCUAAUGACAUGUAAAUUCUUUUUGAGAUCCAUCAAAAAAUA